rnacentral:lncRNA from 1 species
AGAAUCGGACCACCCAAUAGCUAGAUGUGAACUUUCGAGGCCUCCGACCCCGUUCUAAGUCCGACCGUUUCUUUCUAGGCCACCAUUGUGCCUUUCUUCGGCGUUUUGGGUCAGAACCAAGAAAUCGAGUCUGGGCAUCACCGUUCGCCUUUUGUGGGCAAGAAACUUCAAGAUCACUCAGAAUCUGACCACCCAGUAGUUAAAUGUGAACUUUCGAGGCCUCCGACCCCGUUCUAAGUUCGGCCGUUCCUUUCCUUUCUAAGCCACCAUUGUGCCUUUCUUCGGCGUUUUGGGACGGAACAAAGAAACCGAGUCUGGCGCAUCACCGUUCCGCUUUUGUGGGCAAGAAACUUCGAGAUCACUCAGAAUCGGACCACCCAUUAGUUAGAUGUGAACUUUCGAGGCCUCCGACCACUUUCUAAGUUCGGCCGCUCCUUUCCUUUCUAGGCCACCGUUGUGCCUUUCUUCGGCGUUUUGGGACAAAACCAAAAAACCGAGUCGGGGCAUCACCGUUCGCAUUUUGUGGGCAAGAAACUUCGAGAUCACUCAGAAUCGGACCACCCAUUAGUUAGAUGUGAACUUUCGAGGCCUCCGACCCCCUUCUAAGUUCGGCCGUUCCUUUCCUUUCUAGGCCACCAUUGUGCCUUUCUUCGGCGUUUUGGGACGAAACCAAGAAACCGAGUCUGGGGCAUCACUGUUCGCAUUUUGUGGGCAAGAAACUUCGAGAUCACUCAGAAUCGGACCACCCAGUAGUUAGAUGUGAACUUUCGAGGCCUACGACACCGUUCUAAGUUUGGCCGUUCCUUUCCUUUCUAGGCCACCAUUGUGCCUUUCUUCGGUGUUUUGGGACGGAACCAAGAAACCGAGUCUGGAGCAUCACCGUUCGCAUUUUGUGGGCAAGAAACUUUGAGAUCACUCAGAAUCGGACCACCCAGUAGUUAGAUGUGAACUUUCGAGGCCUACGACACCGUUCUAAGUUCGGUCGUUCCUUUCCUUUCUAGGCCACCAUUGUGCCUUUCUUCGGCGUUUUGGGACGGAACGAAGAAACCGAGAAUGGGGCAUCAACGUUCGACUCGGCUUUUGUGGGCAAGAAACUUCGAGAUCACUCAGAAUCGGACCACUCAGUAGUUAGAUGUGAACUUUCGAGUCCUCUGACCCCGUUCUAAGUUCGGCCGUUGCUUUCCUUUCUAGGCCACCAUUGGGCCUUUCUUCGGCGUUUUGGGACGGAACCAAGAAACCGAGUCUGGGGCAUCACCGUUCGGCGUUUUGGGACAGAAUCAAGGGUCCUCUGUUAGAGAACAUGUUCUGGACAUGAUGAUGCACUUCAACAUCGCUGAAGUGAAUGGUGGUCCCAUCGAAGAGGUUAAUCAAGUUAGUUUUAUCUUAGAGUCUCUUCCGAAGGGCUUUAUUCCAUUCCAAACGAAUGCGUCUUUGAAUAAGAUAGAAUUUAACUUGACAACCCUUCUGAAUGAACUCCAGCGAUUCUAAAACCUUACUAUGGGUAAAGGAAAACAAGUGGAAGCAAAUGUUGCUAUCACAAAAAGAAAAUUUAUAUUUUGAAUAAUGUUCCCUCUAAAAGUGUUUCAGAAACACCUUAUGAGCUAUGGAAAGGGCGUAAAGGAAGUUUACGUCAUUUUAGAAUUUGGGGUUGUCCGGCACACGUGUUGGUACAAAAUCCUAAGAAAUUGGAACAUCGUUCAAAAUUAUGCUUUUUUAUAGGUUAUCCAAAAGAAUCAAGAGGUGGUUUGUUUUAUGAUCCUCAAGAAAAUAAAAUAUUUGUGUCAACAAAUGCCACAUUCUUAGAGGAAGACCACAUCAGGGAUCAUCAACCUCGUAGUAAACUAGUAUUAAAAGAAAUUUCCAAAAGUGCUAUAGAUAAACCUAGUUCAUCCACUAAGGUAGUUGAUAAGACUAGGAAAUCUGGACAAUCACAUCCUUCUCAACAGUUGAGAGAGCCUCGACGUAGUGGGAGGGUUGUUCAUCAGCCUGAUCGCUAUUUGGGUUUAAUUGAAACUCAAGUCGUCAUACCUGACGAUGGCAUAGAGGAUCCAUUAACCUAUAAACAGGCAAUGAAAGAUGUAGAUCGUGACCAAUGGAUCAAAGCCAUGGACCUCGAAAUGGAGUCUAUGUACUUUAAUUCUGUCUGGACUCUAGUAGAUCAACCAAAUGACGUAAAACCUAUUGGUUGUAAAUGGAUCUACAAGAGAAAACGAGACCAUGCCGGUAAAGUACAGACUUUCAAGGCUCGACUUGUGGCAAAGGGUUAUACCCAGAGAGAGGGAGUAGACUAUGAGGAAACUUUCUCUCCUGUUGCCAUGUUAAAGUCAAUUAGAAUACUCUUAUCCAUCGCCACUUUUUAUGAUUAUGAAAUUUGGCAGAUGGAUGUCAAGACAGCUUUUUUGAAUGGUAAUCUUGAAAGAGAGUAUCUAUAUGUCUCAACCAGAGGGGUUUAUAGAACAAGAUCAAGAACAAAAGGUUUGUAAGCUUAAAAAAAUCCAUUUAUGGAUUAAAACAAGCUUCUAGAUCCUGGAAUAUAAGAUUUGAUACUGCGAUCAAAUCUUAUGGCUUUGAACAAAAUGUUGACGAGCCUUGUGUUUACAAAAAGGUCGUCAAUUCCAUUAUAGCAUUUUUAGUCUUAUAUGUAGAUGAUAUUCUACUUAUUGGAAAUGACGUAGGAUAUCUUACUGAUAUCAAGAAAUGGCUAGCUAUGCAAUUUCAAAUGAAAGAUCUGGGAGAUGCACAAUACGUUCUCGGAAUCCAAAUUGUUCGAAACCGUAAGAACAAAACACUAGCCAUGUCUCAAGCAUCUUACAUAGACAAAAUGUUGUCUAGAUAUAAAAUGCAGAAUUCCAAAAAGGGUCUGCUGCCGUACAGAUAUGGAAUUCAUUUGUCAAAGGAACAAUGUCCUAAGACACCUCAAGAAGUUGAGGAUAUGAGAAAUAUUCCCUAUGCUUCCGCUGUUGGAAGUUUAAUGUAUGCAAUGUUAUGUACUAGACCUGACAUUUGCUACUCAGUAGGGAUGGUCAGUAGGUAUCAAUCCAAUCCUGGACGUGAUCACUGGACAGCCGUUAAAAACAUUCUAAAAUAUCUUCGAAGAACAAAAGACUACAUGCUCAUGUAUGGUACAAAGGAUCUGAUCCUUACUGGAUACACUGAUUCAGAUUUCCAAACUGAUAAAGAUGCUAGAAAGUCUACAUCAGGAUCAGUAUUUACUCUAAAUGGAGGAGCAGUAGUUUGGAGAAGCAUAAAGCAAACUUGUAUAGCUGAUUCCACAAUGGAAGCUGAAUACGUAGCGGCUUGUGAAGCAGCAAAAGAAGCAGUAUGGCUAAGAAAAUUCUUGACAGAUUUGGAAGUCGUUCCAAAUAUGCAUCUACCAAUCACUUUAUACUGUGACAACAGUGGUGCAGUUGCAAAUUCAAGAGAACCUAGAAGCCAUAAAAGAGGAAAGCAUAUUGAACGCAAGUACCAUCUUAUCAGGGAAAUUGUACAUCGUGGUGACGUUGUAGUAACCCAGAUUUCUUCUCAGCAAAACAUUGCUGAUCCUUUUACAAAAGCUCUCACGGCUAAAGUGUUUGAGGGUCACCUACACAGUUUAGGUCUACGAUGUUUGUAAACUAGGACAAGUGGGAGACUUAUUGGCCAUGUGCCCUAGUUUCAUAUAUAUUCUCUCACACCACAUCUCUCAUCCCACUAGGAAUUUUAGUCCAAGUGGGAGUUUGUUGGAAUUUUUUGUCCUAAAACUCGUAGUUUGUAAAUCAUAUUCUGUUCAAUAAAGUUGUUAUUGAGAAAUUAAAUAUUAUAAUCUUAAAUCCAAUAAAUCAAGUUCCAAGGCUAUUUUUUGAAUAAACUUGAACUUUAUGUGUAAACAUAAACGUGGAUCAAGUUCGAGUACAUAGCCUAAAUAGUCUAUAGUAUAUGAAAUAAAGGUUGGGCGCCUUAUUUAGAGAAACUAUGGAUGCGGCCCACUUUGUAAAACAAACGAGGUGAUCCUAAUCGUUCAUGUAGACACAUGAAAGCGGGGCAUCCUAUGUAAAAUGUUUACAUAAGACUGAACCAUGAAUUAGUCAUUUUUACGUUAUAACACCGUUUACUGUUUAAAACUGACUAUCUCAAUUAUUGAUGACCUAGGUAACUUAGUCUUAAUCCUGAGUUAACUAUGAACUCCUGUUCACACGAGAUUAUCCUUAGAUCUGCAUAGGUGAGGGCAGCUCAUCAGCGUUGGCCCAAUAAGCCUCCCAUUUCAGGGGUAAGAUCGGGUGGAUAGCUGGGAACAUAGGGUACAAGAUGGAAUUCACUCCUACCCGCUUUAGGGUUAGUAGAUAGGUUGCUCUCUUAAGCACUGAAUCCAAGUCUUGAACAAGGGGCCCCACCCUCUCAUUGGCCCGAGAGGGAUUAAGUUUAUAGGUUGAACCUUAAACCAAUUGUUCAAUAGUGGAUUAGUGGGACUUAAGGAGCAAGAUGUAAUCUUGGGGGUAAAACGGUAUUUUGACCCAGCCAAGGUUACGAGCAACCUGUGAAGGAUUAACUUACUGAUUAUGGUUUUAUCAAAUGGACACAAAUAUAUCUAUAGUGAGGGGAGUGCAACUACGGGACUUUAGUGGAAUGACCCGUUAGUUAACGAAUGUUGAUUAACUCGGUUUAAAAGAGUUUAGCUAGUUAAUCUUGAAUCGUUGGAGCCCAUGAUCUAUAGGUCCAUUAGGUUCCUCUGCUAGCUCAUAUGGAUUAAACUUAGAACAGUGUGAUGAAAUAAGUCGAAUUGUUCGAAUUGGGAGAAGAAAGGGAAACCGACAAAUAUAGUGAUAUAGUCGUCGGUCUUCUAAUUAGAAAUAGAGCUUUAUGUUUUACAUACUAUAAGUAUGAAUGCGGAUUCAUACUAAGAAGCUCGGAAUUGAUGGAAUUGGUCAAAAAUAGUAAAAAGUCAAAAUGUUGACUUUUGACUUUGAAAAGUCAAACUUUGACCGGCCUUAUAUUCAAAUGUGAUUUGAAUUUUGGAAAAAUGAAUGCGGAUUCAUGCUCGGAAGGAUGGAGUUAGUCAAGACGGACAAAAUGGUAAAAAGUCAAAAUAUUGACUUUUGACUAAGAAAAGUCAAAGUUUGACUUUUGACUAAGAAAAGUCAAAGUUUGACUUUUGACUAGAAAUAUCUAAUGACCAUUUUACCCUUGGACUAAGUUAGUGGGAAAAUCCAACAUUUUGUUGGAUAAUCCCACUAACUCUUAGUGGGAUAUGUGGCUAUAUGAGAUAUAGACACCUAGCCCACUAAGUUCCACUAAUUGUUAGUGGAACAUUAGGUGUUGAGAUUUGGCAAAUGAAUUGCAUGCAUUUUUGCAUGUAAUUAGGUUAUAAAUAGAGGUGUUUUCAAAUGUUGAAGGACUUUUGCCUCUUUUAUCAUUUUCAUCAUCUCAACAAAAGAAAAAAGAAAGCUUCCAAUCUCAUUUUAUCUCCAUUACUUUCUACACCAAAAUUGGGUCUCACAACCCGGUUCUUUGUCUAGAGGAUAGCAGUUGAGUACUAGUGGUGGUCUCGGUUAGAAUUGGUAAGAAUAUAUCGAACCUUUUGAAAGCUUCAAAGGUAAUAUUUCUUAAAACCCUAAUUUGAUUAGUUUAUGGUUAUAUGUUAAUUGUGGCAAUUAGGGUAGAAAUUCAAUUCUUUUUCCGCUGUGCAUGACUUAGUUCUAUCACGUUCGCCUUUUGUGGGCAAGAAACUUCGAGAUCACUCAGAAUCGGACCACGCAGUAGUUAGAUGUGAACUUUCGAGGCCUCUGACUCCGUUCUAUGUCCGACUGUUCCUUUCUAGGCCACCAUUGUGCCUUUCUUCGGCGUUUUGGGACGAAACCAAGAAACCGAGUCUGGGGCAUCACCGUUCGCCUUUUGUGGGCAAGAAACUUGGAGAUCACUCAGAAUCGGACCACCCAUGAGUUAGAUGUGAACUUUCGAGUCCUCCAACCCCGUUCUAAGUCCGACCGUUCCUUUCCUUUCUAGGCAACCAUUGGGCCUUUCUUCGACGUUUUGGGACAGAACCAAGAAACCGAGUCUGAGGCAUCACCCUUCGGCUUUUGUGGGUAAGAAACUUCGAGAUCACUCAGAAUCUGACCACCCAGUAGUUAGAUGUGAACUUUCGAGGCCUCCGACCCCGUUCUAAGUCCGGCCGUUCCUUUCUAGGCCACCAUUGUGCCUUUCUUCGGCGUUUUGGGACGGAACCAAGAAACCGAGUUUGGGGCAUCACCGUUCGCAUUUUGUGGGCAAGAAACUUCGAGAUAACUCAGAAUCGGACCACCUAGUAGUUAGAUGUGAACUUUCGAGGGCUCCACCCCGUUCUAAGUCCGGCCGUUCCUUUCAUUUCUAGGCCACCAUUGUGCCUUUCUUCGGCGUUUUGGGACGGAACCAAGAAACCGAGUCUGGGGCAUCACCGUUCGCAUUUUGUGGGCAAGAAACUUCGAGAUAACUCAGAAUCGGACCACCCAGUAGUUAGAUGUGAACUUUCGAGGGCUCCACCCCGUUCUAAGUCCGGCCGUUCCUUUCCUUUCUAGGCCACCAUUGUGCCUUUCUUCGGCGUUUUGGGACGGAACCAAGAAACCGAGUUCGGGGCAUCACCGUUCGCAUUUUGUGGGCAAGAAACUUCGAGAUAACUCAGAAUCGGACGACCCAGUAGUUAGAUGUGAACUUUCGAGGGCUCCACCCCGUUCUAAGUUCGGCCGUUCCUUUCCUUUCUAGGCCACCAUUGUUCCUUUCUUCGGCGUUUUGGGACGUAACCAAGAAACCGAGUCUGGGGCAUCACCGUUCAGCUUUUAUGGACAAGAAACUUCGAGAUCACUCAGAAUCGGACCACCCAGUAGUUAGAUGUCACAGAACCAUCUAUUGAUGCACCUAGAGAUCCAUUAUACAAGUCUGAAAAGGAGGUUCUUAAGGUAAGGUUGGACUUAAGAAUUUGAUGAUUGUUCACUCUAUUUUUCUAUUUCUAGUGAAAGUGAUGAUAAUUUAAUGGACUAUUCGAUUUCUUUGUAAAUCCGAGUAUAGGUUUCGCUGCGAUACGUUAGAAUAGAAGUAACUAGCAUAUACAUACAAAGUGACGUUCAUUGACUCAACGACGUUUGAAAUUUAAGAAUAUUAUGGCUGUUGGAGCAUCCAUUGAAGGAUGGAAAUAUUGUAGACCCAACAUAUCGGUUGACGACACUUUUUUGAAAUCUAAAUAUGGUGGAACUCUUUUGACGGCUUCAACAAUUGAUGGUAAUAAUCAAAUUUUUCCAUUGGCCUUCAGUAUUGUAGAUUCCGAAAAUGAUGAAUCCUGGAGAUGGUUUUUUGAGAAUAUAAAGAAAAGUUUAGGGGAUCGGGAAGGUUUAGUUGUAAUAUCUGAUCGACAUUUAAGUAUUCCAAAAAGUGUUCAUAACGUUUUUCCAAAUGCUGAAUAUUGUGUUUGUUUGCAACAGCUUCUAAAAAGUUUGAAGUUGAUGUAUAAGGACCCUAUAAUUGAUAAGCUCUUUUUUAGAUGUGGAAAAGCAUAUACUGUUGUUGAUUUUGAGACUAAUAUGAAAUGGAUGGAGUCUAUGUAUCCUAGUAUACGAGACUAUCUUAGUAAGGUUGGUUUUGAAAAGUGGGCUCGAGUAUAUUUUACAAAGAAAAGAUAUCAAAUGAUGACUACAAACAUUUCAGAAAGCUUAAAUUCAGUUCUAAAAGAAUCUAGAGAUUUGCCUGUUGCAACAUUACUCGAUUCUAUCAGGCAAAUACUUCAAAAUUGGUUUUAUGAUCGAAGAAAAGUUGCAUGUUGUAUGAGAACUAUUUUAACUAGUUGGGCUGAGGGAGAAUUACGUAUGCAACAUCAAAACUCAAGAAGCUUCACAGUAAGUUUUUGUGUUUUAAUGUUUAUUUACUUAAUUAGUGAGUAAUAUAACAAGACCUAUCAAUGAUAGAUUUUAUCACCGAUAGAUUCUUAUUAUGCAUCAGUGAUAGAUUCUAUCAAUGAUAGAUCAUAUGUGUUGACUAAGUUUGUUCUUUUUUUCUUUUCAGGUUAAUGCUAUUAAUGAUGUUGAAUUUCAAGUGAUUGAUGGAAGAAAACAAUUUAUGGUACAUUUAAAUUGCAAAUCAUGUACCUGUCGCGUUUGGGAUCUUGAUGAAAUUCCAUGCGCUCAUGCACUUGCUGUUCUUCGUGGAUGCAAUAUGAAUACUUACUCUUUUGUUUCCAAUUAUUUUUUGUCAAGCACUUUGGUUUUAGCUUAUACUGGAUUAGUUCGUCCAGUUGGGAACCAUUCUAAUUAGAAAUCUAUUGGGGUUGACAUGAACAUACUUCCUCUAGUUUUCAAGAGUCGAGCUGGAUGACCACGAAAACAGAGAACAUUAUCAAUUGGCGAGAAGAAAAGUCAACCAAAAUGCAAUCAUUGUCGUCGUGCUGGUCACAAUCGUAGAAAUUGCAAAUUUUCACCAUUUUUACAAUGAUAUGACAUU